GUUCCAGACUCCUACGGGAGGCAGCAGUGGGGAAUAUUGCACAAUGGGGGAAACCCUGAUGCAGCGACGCCGCGUGAGCGAUGAAGUAUUUCGGUAUGUAAAGCUCUAUCAGCAGGGAAGAAGAUGACGGUACCUGACUAAGAAGCCCCGGCUAACUACGUGCCAGCAGCCGCGGUAAUACGUAGGUGGCAAGCGUUAUCCGGAUUUACUGGGUGUAAAGGGAGCGUAGACGGCAGUGCAAGUCUGGAGUGAAAGGCGGGGGCUCAACCCCCGGACUGCUCUGGAAACUGUACGGCUGGAGUGCAGGAGAGGUAAGUGGAAUUCCUAGUGUAGCGGUGAAAUGCGUAGAUAUUAGGAGGAACACCAGUGGCGAAGGCGGCUUACUGGACCGCGACUGACGUUGAGGCUCGAAAGCGUGGGGAGCGAACAGGAUUAGAUACCCGCGUA
rnacentral:rRNA from 1 species